rnacentral:lncRNA from 1 species
GAGUGAAUGGGUGCAGCAUGUGGUGGUCCUACAGGCACCAAGGGUGCUGGAUUCAUAGAUUUCUAACGUGUGUGACGUCAACAACACCAUGUGAGGAUAGUGGUGUGGGUGUUUAGAGGUAGCUGGUCAGAUUGGGAUGUAUGACUUAGUCGCAAGUUGGUAUGCGUGACAGUGGAGAAAACCAGAGGCCGUAACUUGCAUCUCCUUCUAUUACCACAAAAGAUAUGAAUACCGGCUCCACUUCCAUACGGUGAGCUAAGAGGGUUUCUUUGGAAAACCCUAAUAUCCAUUAAUGUAAACUUUAGUUUCUUAGAUUUGAUUUUAAGUCACAGGACCUUAAUAAUAAUUAUUUGUAGAUUCGUUAGGUGACAUCGAUUGCGAAUUGCGAUUGGGGGUAAAUUGUAACACCCUGUCCAUCAUUGUGCUUAAUU